AUACGUAGGGGGCGAGCGUUGUCCGGAAUUACUGGGCGUAAAGCGCGCGCAGGCGGCUUGUUAAGUCAGGUGUCAAAAUGCGGGGCUCAACCCCGUAUCGCACUUGAAACUGGCAGGCUCGAGUGCAGGAGAGGGAAGUGGAAUUCCUAGUGUAGCGGUGAAAUGCGUAGAUAUUAGGAGGAACACCAGUGGCGAAGGCGACUUCCUGGACUGUAACUGACGCUCAGGCGCGAAAGCUAGGGGAGCAAACAGGAUUAGAUACCCUGGUAGUCCUAGCCGUAAACGAUGGGUACUAGGUGUUGGAGGUGACAAUCCCCCAGUGCCGCAGUUAACGCAUUAAGUGUCCCGCCUGGGGAGUACGGUCGCAAGACUGAA
rnacentral:rRNA from 1 species